GUCGAGCGAAGCUUUUCAGUAGUUUACUACAGAAAAUGACUGAGCGGCGAACGGGUGAGUAACGCGUGAGCAAUCUACCUUAGUUACAGGGAUAGCCCGAGGAAACUCGGAUUAAUACCUGAUAUUCUUUAAAUUUCGCAUGAAAUUAAAAGGAAAGGUCAGCCGAACUAAGAUGAGCUCGCGUUCUAUCAGCUAGUUGGUGAGGUAAAAGCUCACCAAGGCAACGACGGAUAGCUGGUCUGAGAGGACGAUCAGCCACACUGGGACUGAGACACGGCCCAGACUCCUACGGGAGGCAGCAGCAGGGAAUAUUGCGCAAUGAGCGAAAGCUUGACGCAGCGACACCGCGUGUGGGAUGACGGAUCUAGGUUUGUAAACCACUUUCAGGAGGGAAGAAAAUGACGGUACCUCCACAAGAAGCCCCGGCCAACUACGUGCCAGCAGCCGCGGUAAUACGUAGGGGGCGAGCGUUGUCCGGAUUUAUUGGGCGUAAAGAGCUCGUAGGCGGUUCAACAAGUCGGUCGUAAAAGUUCAGGGCUCAACCCUGAAAUGUCGAUCGAUACUGUUGUGACUAGGAUACGGUAGAGGUGAGUGGAAUUCCGAGUGUAGCGGUGAAAUGCGUAGAUAUUCGGAGGAACACCAAUUGCGAAGGCAGCUCACUGGGCCGCUAUCGACGCUGAGGAGCGAAAGCUAGGGGAGCAAACAGGAUUAGAUACCCUGGUAGUCCUAGCUGUAAACGAUGGAUACUAGACGUAGGAACUGGAUUGACGGUUUCUGUGUCGUAGCUAACGCGUUAAGUAUCCCGCCUGGGGAGUACGGUCGCAAGACUAAAACUCAAAGGAAUUGACGGGACCCCGCACAAGCGGCGGAGCAUGCGGCUUAAUUCGAUGAUACCCGUAGAACCUUACCUGGACUUGACAUAUAGGGUCUAGCUAUAGAGAUAUAGUGUGCAUUAG
rnacentral:rRNA from 1 species